rnacentral:rRNA from 1 species
AUUGAACGCUGGCGGAAUGCUUUACACAUGCAAGUCGAACGGCAGCACGGACUUCGGUCUGGUGGCGAGUGGCGAACGGGUGAGUAAUGUAUCGGAACGUGCCCAGUCGUGGGGGAUAACGUAGUGAAAAUUACGCUAAUACCGCAUACGAUCUAUGGAUGAAAGCGGGGGAUCGCAAGACCUCGCGCGAUUGGAGCGGCCGAUAUCAGAUUAGGUAGUUGGUGGGGUAAAGGCCCACCAAGCCAACGAUCUGUAGCUGGUCUGAGAGGACGACCAGCCACACUGGAACUGGGACACGGUCCAGACUCCUACGGGAGGCAGCAGUGGGGAAUUUUGGACAAUGGGCGAAAGCCUGAUCCAGCCAUUCCGCGUGCAGGAUGAAGGCCCUCGGGUUGUAAACUGCUUUUGUACAGAACGAAAAGGUUUCUACUAAUACUAGGAGCUCAUGACGGUACUGUAAGAAUAAGCGCCGGCUAACUACGUGCCAGCCGCGGUAAGAC